rfam:Astyanax mexicanus chromosome 13, whole genome shotgun sequence.
GUCUGUGUCAUUUUUGUGGUUUGCAGCUAGUAAUCUGACUCCAGUUGCAUAGUCACAAAAAUGAGCACGGAC